GCCGCUCGUAGCAAGCGCAGCGGUGUAACAGAAAAUCGACACACGAGGAAGUCAAUUCAUUUCGAAAGCAAGUGAUGUAUUAAAACGACAAAUGCCAUUUUUAUUUCGGAGCUGAGCUCAGUACGUUUCGAGUCGAUGGGAAGAUGCAGUAGGGAAAAAAAAAAAUGGUUUGGAAAAAACAAAAGAAAGAAAACAAGAGCUUGGCAGGACACUUUGAGCAGCUGCGAUGAGAAGAGAGAGUGCGAAGUCGGAUGUCGGAUGCCUUUGCCGCACCGACGGGGAGAAUUAAGCGUGCGUGUGUGGGCAGACCGGGAAGCCGGCUGUGAAGGCAGCUGUCAGGCAGCGGCGAGAACCGGGGCCAAGAAGUCAAGCACAAUAGCUCUGCCUCGACAUCUUCACUUCCUCUACGCGUCGUGACUGAAUUGUGUUACUACAGCAGAAAAAUUCCAGACAACGCAGCACGGGUUCCUCUGAGACGUGACCCCCCCGAGUUGGGAUCAAAAACAAGAAUCUGGCAGGAAAUGCAUUUUUUUCAUGGUGGCAUCCUCAUAUGUGAUGGAACAAUAUCUUAGAGACCUUUUAAUGGCAUCGUCUUCCGAUAAAAUGAGAGAUACUAAAAUGUUGUCCAACCUCUCUUGAUCGGCGCUUCGAAACCGAGGCAGGAUCAUCUGUCGGAAACUGCUGGUCCGGUCCAGUUUGGGUUGACUUUUGGCCCUCUUGAUGGAGCCCUUCAGCCUUCGAUUGAGGAAACUCUAAAUGUUGAGGGGAACACAUAGACAGCAACUUCAAGUCCCCCAUUGCUCAACUCAAUUCACUCAAGAACUUCCCCAAAGCACAGACAUUUUUGGAUCUUCACAAAUGAUGCUUUGGUGCACUCACCGGUUGUCUGAAGGACUGCGGGGUGGCGUUGGGAGGCGUUUCCAUGCUUGACUGUCGCACAGAGGCAAAACUUGCCCUGCGGGAUUGGUCUGGGUAGGACAAAUGGCAGCAGAACCACUUUAAUUGUAUUCUUGACAACAUGGACAUCACAGGCAUUAAAGACCGAUGACUUAG